rnacentral:sRNA from 1 species
GUUGGGGUAGUGCCCUGUAACCCCAGAACCUGGGAGGCUGAGGCAGGGGGAUCACUAGAGCCCAGGGGUUUGAGGCCAGCCUGGGAAACGUAGUGAGACCCUGUCUCAA